GCCCCUGUGGCCCAAUUGGAUAAGGCGUUGGACUUCGGAUCCAAAGAUUGCGGGUUCGAAUCCCGUCAGGGGCU